rnacentral:rRNA from 1 species
CGGCCAGCCCAACCCACCUCAUAUCCUCUCCCUCCCCCACGCUACAGGAAACAGGGGGAGCACUCGAACUCCCCUUUCCCUUUGGUCACAACUUGGAGUUCGAAGCUCAAAAAAAAAAAAAAGCAACUUGGAGUUCGCCUGAUCUCAUGGUCGCCAUGCCGUCGUCGUAGCCGCGACCACCGUGCGCCUCUUCGCCGGGGGAGACCUCCAGCAGAACCUUCGUCGUCCACUUCUUCAUCUCCACCCACGAGAUCGAGCCCGGAGCCACCGCAUCGACCGGACGAGGUCUUCUUCAAGCUCUGCCCCGCCGCUCAUCAUCUUCGAUUUCGACCUCAUUGAAGCCUCCCCGAGCCGCUGACUUUCUCUACAGCUGCGAUAUGCUGGAGUCCAGGAGCCAGACGCCACCGUCGACGAUGAUUCCUACUACAUGGGAGGUGCCUUCUGCUACGUACAGGCUGCUGACGACGACCAGGAGUAGUUAGGAGGAUCCCAGGCAGGAGGCCUGCGCCUCUUUCGAUCUGUAUCCCAGUUUGUGUUAGCCUUCUUAAGGCAAACUUGUUUAACUUAUGUCUGUACUCAGAUAUUGCUGCUUCCGCUGACUCGUCUAUGAUCGAGCACUUGUAUUCGAGCUCUCGAGGCCCCUGGCUUGUAUUAUGAUGCUUGUAUGACUUAUUUUUAUUUUUAGAGUUGUGUUGUGAUAUCUUC